GACGAACGCUGGCGGCGUGCUUAACACAUGCAAGUCGAACGGUAAGGCCCUUCGGGGUACACGAGUGGCGAACGGGUGAGUAACACGUGGGUGAUCUGCCCUGCACUUCGGGAUAAGCCUGGGAAACUGGGCCUAAUACCGGAUAGGACCACUGCCUGCAUGGGUGGGGGUGGAAAGCUUUUGCGGUGUGGGAUGGGCCCGCGGCCUAUCAGCUUGGUGGUGGGGGGAUGGCCUACCAAGGCGACGACGGGUAGCCGGCCUGAGAGGGUGACCGGCCACACUGGGACUGAGAUACGGCCCAGACUCCUACGGGAGGCAGCAGUGGGGAAUAUUGCACAAUGGGCGCAAGCCUGAUGCAGCGACGCCGCGUGAGGGAUGACGGCCUUCGGGUUGUAAACCUCUUUCAGCACCGACGAAGCGCAAGUGACGGUAGGUGCAGAAGAAGGACCGGCCAACUACGUGCCAGCAGCCGCGGUAA
rnacentral:rRNA from 1 species